GUCUACAGCCACACCACCCUGAACAAGCCUGAUCCCGUCUGAUCUCAGAAGCUAAGCAGGGUCGGGCCUGGUUAGUACUUGGAUGGGAGACCACCUAGGAAGACCAGGUGCUGUAGGCA
rnacentral:rRNA from 1 species